UACGAGGGGGGCAAGCGUUGUUCGGAAUUACUGGGCGUAAAGCGCGCGCAGGCGGUCCUUCAAGUCAGAGGUGAAAGCCCAGAGCUCAACUCUGGAACGGCCUUUGAGACUAGAGGACUUGGGUACGGGAGAGGUGAGUGGAAUUCCGAGUGUAGAGGUGAAAUUCGUAGAUAUUCGGAAGAACACCAGUGGCGAAGGCGGCUCACUGGCCCGUUACCGACGCUCAGGCGCGACAGCGUGGGGAGCAAACAGG
rnacentral:rRNA from 1 species